rnacentral:rRNA from 1 species
UUGGUCAUUUAGAGGAAGUAAAAGUCGUAACAAGGUUUCCGUAGGUGAACCUGCGGAAGGAUCAUUAGUGAAUAACAGGACGUUCAAUUUAACUUGAAGUCCGAACUCUCACUUUCUAACCCUGUGCAUUUGUUUUGGUUAGUAGAAUGCUUGCGUUCGAACACCUCUUCAUUUUACAAACACUAAGUCAAAGAAUGUUUAAAUUUUAUAACAAAACAAAACUUUCAACAACGGAUCUCUUGGCUCUCGCAUCGAUGAAGAACGCAGCGAAAUGUGAUAAGUAAUGUGAAUUGCAGAAUUCAGUGAAUCAUCGAAUCUUUGAACGCAUCUUGCACUCUCUGGUAUUCCGGAGAGUAUGUCUGUUUGAGUGUCAUGAAUUCUUCAACCCUCCCUUUUCUUAGUGAAUUGAGAGGAGUUUGGAUUCUGAGUGUUGCUCCUAACCCGAGCUCAUUCGUAAUACAUUAGCAUCCAUAUUCGAUUUCGGAUUGACUUGGCGUAAUAGACUAUUCGCUGAGGAAUCUAACUUCGGUUAGAGCCGUUUUUGAACUAGGAAGCUGCUAAUCUAGCUUAGUCUACCUUUAGAUUAGAUCUCAAAUCAGAUAGGAUUACCCGCUGAACUUAAGCAUAUCAAUAAGCGGAGGAAA